rnacentral:tRNA from 1 species
UCCUAGGUGGCUCAGUGGUAAAGAAUCUGCUUGCAAUGCAGGACACCCAGGUUCGAUCCCUGGAUUGGGAA